UUCUCUUUGUUUCAUUUGUCCGUCAACUCAUGUCACAUGACGUGAGUUGACCAACAAUUAAAUCAGAAGACCUGCUCCACCUGCUGUUCUACUGGUUGUAAGAGAUUGUUGGAAAGAGAAGUCAACAACACUGGACCAAUGAUGAAAGAGAAGACACAGAGGACUGAGGAGACACAGAAAAUCCUGCUGGACAUCCAUAACAAAAUGUUUCCUGAUGGAACAGGGGGACAUCUGAGGACGGGACAUCAUAAAGGGACAGAGAUCAUAUGAAGUUAGAUCUUCUGAACCUUUAAUCCUCUGCCUUCAACACCUCUAGGAAGGUGCAGGAAGAUAAGAGAACCCAGUUGACAAAAAAUCGUUUCAAAACAGCACAGCUUUGAUGAGCUCUGUGCUGAUGGAAUGAGGAUCAGGAACAGAGCAGAGGACCUGCUGAUCUACUGGUUAUAGUAGAUUUCAUAAAUGCAUGACUAAACAAGUCAACAGAACUGGACCAAUGAGGAGAGAGAAGGCACAGAAAAUCCUCAUCAACCUGCAAUCCUCCA